rnacentral:rRNA from 1 species
GGCUCAGAACGAACGCUGGCGGCGUGCUUAACACAUGCAAGUCGAACGCGAAAGGGACUUCGGUCCUGAGUAAAGUGGCGCACGGGUGAGUAACGCGUAGAUAACCUGUCUUCAUGUCUGGAAUAAUACGCCAAAGGGGUACUAAUACCGGAUAUUCUUGCUUUUCAUAAGUUAUGCAAGCAAAGGUGGCCUCUGCAUACGCUACUGCAUGAAGAGGGGUCUGCGUACCAUUAGCUAGUAGGUGGGGUAAUGGCCUACCUAGGCGACGAUGGUUAGCGGGUCUGAGAGGAUGAUCCGCCACACUGGCACUGGAACACGGGCCAGACUCCUACGGGAGGCAGCAGUGAGGAAUAUUGCGCAAUGGGGGAAACCCUGACGCAGCGACGCCGCGUGAGUGAAGGAAGGCCUUCGGGUCGUAAAGCUCCGUCAAGAGGAAAGAAGUGUACAAUGGCUAAUACCUGUUGUAUUUGACGGUACCUCUAAAGGAAGCACCGGCUAACUCCGUGCCAGCAGCAGC